rnacentral:tRNA from 2 species
GCGCCUCUAGCUCAGCUGGUGAGAGCAUCCGGCUCUUAACCGGAGGGUCCUGGGUUCAAGCCCCAGGGGGCGCACAA